CAUCUUGAUGGUAGUGGUCCCCUAGGCCCAGCUGUUUUCUCUUUAUCUCUUUGUCUUGUGUCUUUAUUUAUUACAAUCUCUCAUCUCCACACACGGGGAGAACACCUGCUAAGCCCCAUAAGGCUGGGCCCUACAUCUGGCGCUCCAACGUGGGUUUCUCCCUUCCUCUGUGAAGUUGCGCUUUGAGCCGGGGACUCAGCGGAGGACUUUCGACCACAGAUUCCUGAGGAUUGCAGUCAGUGAGCUUGGUGGAAAGGACCAACAAGCUAUUUGGCUUCCCUCCAGUCAGUUGAAAUUGUACCAUGACUCCAGCCUUGAAGAACCGUCAGAAACAAAAGGCGAACAACCGCCAGAAAUCGAAGCACAAGGCUCGUCGCCUGACUAAUAAAAUUUGUAAUCUUAACUUCGCAUCACAGGGUCGCCCCACAACUCC